UACGAAGGGGGCUAGCGUUGCUCGGAAUCACUGGGCGUAAAGGGUGCGUAGGCGGGUCUUUAAGUCAGGGGUGAAAUCCUGGAGCUCAACUCCAGAACUGCCUUUGAUACUGAAGAUCUUGAGUUCGGGAGAGGUGAGUGGAACUGCGAGUGUAGAGGUGAAAUUCGUAGAUAUUCGCAAGAACGCCAGUGGCGAAGGCAGCUCACUGGCCCGAUACUGACGCUGAUGCACGAAAGCGUGGGGAGCAAACAGG
rnacentral:rRNA from 1 species